rnacentral:rRNA from 1 species
GGGCCCGCACAAGCAGUGGAGCAUGUGGUUUAAUUCGAUGCAACGCGAAGAACCUUACCAGGCCUUGACAUCCCCGGAACUUUCUAGAGAUAGAUUGGUGCCUUCGGGAACCGGGUGACAGGUGCUGCAUGGCUGUCGUCAGCUCGUGUCGUGAGAUGUUGGGUUAAGUCCCGUAACGAGCGCAACCCUUGUCCUUAGUUGCCAGCACAUUAUGGUGGGAACCCUAACAAGACUAUUUACUCGGUUGUAUCAAUUGAGUUAUAUCUGUGUACUUAAAGAGUAUUGCCUAUGAUAUAUAGGAUGAAAGAAAGGAUGACGUCAAGUCUUCAUGGUCCUUAUAAGUUGGGCUAUCGAUGUGUUACAAGGGUAACUACAGUGAGAUGCAAUAAUGAAAAUUGAAGCAAAUCUAUA